rnacentral:rRNA from 1 species
UACGUAGGGUGCGAGCGUUAAUCAGAAUUACUGGGCGUAAAGCGUGCGCAGGCGGUUCGCUAAGACCGCUGUGAAAUCCCCGGGCUCAACCUGGGAACUGCAUUUGUGACUGCAUCGCUGGAGUGCGGCAGAGGGGGAUGGAAUUCCGCGUGUAGCAGUGAAAUGCGUAGAUAUGCGGAGGAACACCGAUGGCGAAGGCAACCCCCUGGGCUGGCACUGACGCUCAGGCACGAAAGCGUGGGGAGCAAACAGG